GUACACUCCUGCGGGAGGCAGCAGUGGGGAAUUUUGGACAAUGGGCGAAAGCCUGAUCCAGCAAUGCCGCGUGUGUGAAGAAGGCCUUCGGGUUGUAAAGCACUUUUGUCCGGAAAGAAAUCCUUGGCUCUAAUACAGUCGGGGGAUGACGGUACCGGAAGAAUAAGCACCGGCUAACUACGUGCCAGCAGCCGCGGUAAUACGUAGGGUGCGAGCGUUAAUCGGAAUUACUGGGCGUAAAGCGUGCGCAGGCGGUUUGCUAAGACCGAUGUGAAAUCCCCGGGCUCAACCUGGGAACUGCAUUGGUGACUGGCAGGCUAGAGUAUGGCAGAGGGGGGUAGAAUUCCACGUGUAGCAGUGAAAUGCGUAGAGAUGUGGAGGAAUACCGAUGGCGAAGGCAGCCCCCUGGGCCAAUACUGACGCUCAUGCACGAAAGCGUGGGGAGCAAACAGGAUUAGAAACCCUAGUAGUCCCAUGAU
rnacentral:rRNA from 1 species